AGCGCAGGUGGUUGUAUAAGUCUGAAGUAAAAGGCAGUGGCUCAACCAUUGUGUGCUUUGGAAACUGUACAACUUGAGUGCAGAAGGAGAGAGUGGAAUUCCAUGUGUAGCGGUGAAAUGCGUAGAUAUAUGGAGGAACACCGGUGGCGAAAGCGGCUCUCUGGUCUGUAACUGACACUGAGGCUCGAAAGGCGUGGGAGCAAACA
rnacentral:rRNA from 1 species